rnacentral:tRNA from 1 species
GUGGACAUGGCCGAGUUGGUCUAAGCGCCAGAUUAAGGUUCUGAUCCGAAAGGGCGUGGUUCAGAUCCCACUCUCCACA